rnacentral:rRNA from 1 species
AUGAACGCUCGCGGCGUGCCUAAUACAUGCAAGUCGAGCGAACAGACGAGGAGCUUGCUCCUCUGACGUUAGCGGCGGACGGGUGAGUAACACGUGGAUAACCUACCUAUAAGACUGGGAUAACUUCGGGAAACCGGAGCUAAUACCGGAUAAUAUAUUGAACCGCAUGGUUCAAUAGUGAAAGACGGUUUUGCUGUCACUUAUAGAUGGAUCCGCGCCGCAUUAGCUAGUUGGUAAGGUAACGGCUUACCAAGGCGACGAUGCGUAGCCGACCUGAGAGGGUGAUCGGCCACACUGGAACUGAGACACGGUCCAGACUCCUACGGGAGGCAGCAGUAGGGAAUCUUCCGCAAUGGGCGAAAGCCUGACGGAGCAACGCCGCGUGAGUGAUGAAGGUCUUCGGAUCGUAAAACUCUGUUAUUAGGGAAGAACAAAUGUGUAAGUAACUAUGCACGUCUUGACGGUACCUAAUCAGAAAGCCACGGCUAACUACGUG